rnacentral:rRNA from 1 species
ACAUGCUUACAACAUAGUGUUAAUGCACCAGAUCCCAUUAGAACUUUGUAGCUAAGCACGCUCAGGCUAGAGUAGUACUAGGAUGGGUGACCGCUCAAGAAGUCCUAGAGUUUUACAUGCC